rnacentral:sRNA from 1 species
GUAUACCUGAGUAUAUGGGGGUAAAGGCGCAAGAUUCAACGGCAGAAACAACAGAAAAUAAAAAAGGAGGCAUUAGCCUCCUUUUUUUAGUCACU